AUUGAACGCUGGCGGCAUGCUUUACACAUGCAAGUCGAACGGUAACAGGCCGCAAGGUGCUGACGAGUGGCGAACGGGUGAGUAACGCAUCGGAACGUGCCCAGUCGUGGGGGAUAACGCAGCGAAAGCUGCGCUAAUACCGCAUACGAUCUCUGGAUGAAAGCGGGGGACCGAAAGGCCUCGCGCGAUUGGAGCGGCCGAUGUCAGAUUAGGUAGUUGGUGGGGUAAAGGCUCACCAAGCCAACGAUCUGUAGCUGGUCUGAGAGGACGACCAGCCACACUGGGACUGAGACACGGCCCAGACUCCUACGGGAGGCAGCAGUGGGGAAUUUUGGACAAUGGGCGCAAGCCUGAUCCAGUAAUGCCGCGUGCAGGAAGAAGGCCUUCGGGUUGUAAACUGCUUUUGUACGGAACGAAACGGUCCUGGUUAAUACCUGGGGCUAAUGACGGUACCGUAAGAAUAAGCACCGGCUAACUACGUGCCAGCCGCCGCUGUAAUAC
rnacentral:rRNA from 1 species